GCUUGAUUAGGGCUAGAAAUUCUUAGAUGAAGCCUUCCAUUUUUAUUUUUAAUCCUUAUCAUUUUCUAUAUUUUUAAUCCUUUGGAAACAACCACUAUGAAUGAGAAACUAAGUGUGGGAGACUCUGAAGACAAAGGCUGAGUCACAGCUGAGAAAACAACUCUGUGAGUCCUUCAGCUGCCUUCUCCUCUGAGGGACACAACGCCAUGACUCUGCUUGAGGUCUUCACGUAAUUCUGAGAGGAAAUUCUCCACAGGCACCAGACGUUUCCUCAACAGAUCUUCCUUUAGCUGCAGCUUCUGUUUAAAUCAUGGUUCAUGGGAAGUGAUGAGGGAGAACAGAAGAGCAACACAGAAACUUGCUGUAAGAAAAUCAGCACUAUAAAAAACCUGUUUGCAUUUUACAUCCUGCUCCAUGUCCCUAACAGGGGCUACAGGUGUGAUCCUAAGGGACUGCUUUGACAAGCCAAGUUUAGAGGUGCCAGAGGAAACACAGAAUCCUACUAAGUUUGACUGGAAGGGACUUCAGUGGUCAUCUCAUCUCUUCUACUUCAUACAAGAGAGUAACAGAGGGUUCACAUGAUGGAGGUUCAUAACGACACUACGUAGAUGUGUUUUAAAGGAGUUGACCUGAUUGGACACAGGGGUUUCUGUUUUACCGAAAAUUUCACUUCUCACUGAGUUUAAGUUAAACAAAUUUUAUGGAUACUUAAUAAGAAGGAAAUCUGGAAAAAAAUGUUUUUAAUAAUCGUGUAGUGUUUUGCUUCUGGAGACUUCAGUGCACUAUGCAAAGGAUAAUGGAGAUAUUGCACCUUGCAUUUGAUCCCUAAAAUUGAGGAUACAGCUACAGAGCAGACAAAAUGCAUGAUGUCAGCUUGAUUGAUUGCCUGAUUGCUCAAAAACAGUGAGGUAUAAGGAUAUACAAGAAGUGCAAAAAGCUCCCAUUGAAAGCAUUGCCUAAAAGGCAAAAAGAGGGAGACACAGAGGUAGCGCAGAUCUUGCAGCCCUCCUCCACCCUUGCCCAACGCCUACAGGCCAGGCUGCGAGAAGACUCUUCAUCUACAUCCUCUCCCUGCUUUCACUCUGAUGAUGUGCUAAGGACGCCAUGGUUGGUCUAACAAGGAAACCCCCGCUCUGCCUGCUGUGCAAGUCAGCUCACUUGGACUUCCCCUGAGUGUACAGCACUACGGAGGCAGAAUUAAGCUGAACUGAAGACAGCUGAAACAAACAACCAAAAUAGAGAGAGAGAGUUCCCAUGCAUACAAGCUUUUUAUUGUCUUUCAACUUUGCUCUAAAUACUUUUCCAUUUCAAAGGGAUGAAUUGAGCAACACUUUCCAGUGAGAGAGACUUCUUCAAAACAAGCUUUGCUGACACAGAAAUCUUUCACCACUCACCUUUCAGGGUGGAAUCAGAGGGGCUACAACUCAUAUCCUGACUUCACCCAGCCUUUGAUACCCACCGCUGGAAGGAGUGGAUCACAGGAACACCACUGGGCUUCUGUCAGCUGUGUAAGUGCAGGGUGGGCAGUGCCAGUGGGAGCAGAACAACCAGUGGCCACCAAGACCUCCAACAAUGAACCCCUGUACCCAACAGUACUCAGAAAAAACAUGUGGGGGCCACUGAGCAAUCUGAGUAUUUCCAUCACAUCUCUCCUUGUCAGGAGAGGCAGAGGAGACAAUCUCUUCAGCACUGUGUUCAUCUACCUAGCAGGCCCACUUUUAAUGGCACAGUCAGUAAUGAAAAGUGGCACAUGAGCCACGAGAUUAGUACAAUUUCUUGCCUUUUUCAGUUGUUCCACACAUAACAUGAUUAGCAGUGAUGACAGACUUCAUGGCGCUUGUGAUAUCUGUGUAGAACUUAUCUUGCAGCUACCUCAACUGUCAUCAGGCAAUGACAACAAUAAUGCUGUGUAUGAAUCAGCAGAGUUAUGGCCGUGAAGGUCUGAAGAUGUAAACAGUGCAAGGCCUGGGAAGAGUGGUUAUGGCUUGUAUUAGGCCUACUUGACGCAGAUAAAAAUAUAGAUAAGCUUUCAGGCACGCAGACUUCAAUACUGCACACAGAUAACUGUUUUCUCAAUCCGAGAGGAAGCCCUGUAAAAAUAGAAAUGGAGGGCUCAUUGUGUAACCUUGCUCCUUUCUGUGAGAGUUUAAUGGUUCUUGAGGAGAUUGCAGUUUGGCUCAGACAAACAGCAAGCUAGAGAAAAUAAAUCUUGAGUAUGAAUGUGUUUUAUGUGUACAUAAAGGCUGCAGUGUGGACAGAGACAGCCCAGAACAUAGCUCUUGUACUGUGCAGUCCUAUGGAGUCAGGCUCCAAGGCAUACUCACAGCUGAUAGUUCUGUCAUCAGCUUGUCAUAGAAGCAUAGAAGCAUGGAAAGGCUUGAAUUGGAAGGGACCGUAAAAAUCCUCAAGCUCCAACUCCCUGCCAUGGGCUGGUUGCCCCCCACCAAAUCAGGCUGCUCAGAGCCCCAUCCAACCUGGUCUUGAAUGCCAGGUGUAUGGCUUUUCCUUAGGACUCAGGUGUGAUCUUGUGUGGAAAUGAUGAAAGAGAUAAUCCCAUGCUUCAAUCCUCUCUGUAAUGAAAGGGAAAAAAUAAAAUAAAAUCAAAGAAA
ensembl:lncRNA